rnacentral:rRNA from 1 species
CCUACGGGUGGCAGCAGUGGGGAAUAUUGCACAAUGGGCGCAAGCCUGAUGCAGCCAUGCCGCGUGUAUGAAGAAGGCCUUCGGGUUGUAAAGUACUUUCAGCGGGGAGGAAGGUGUUGUGGUUAAUAACCGCAGCAAUUAACGUUACCCGCAGAAGAAGCACCGGCUAACUCCGUGCCAGCAGCCGCGGUAAUACGGAGGGUGCAAGCGUUAAUCGGAAUUACUGGGCGUAAAGCGCACGCAGGCGGUCUGUCAAGUCGGAUGUGAAAUCCCCGGGCUCAACCUGGGAACUGCAUUCGAAACUGGCAGGCUAGAGUCUUGUAGAGGGGGGUAGAAUUCCAGGUGUAGCGGUGAAAUGCGUAGAGAUCUGGAGGAAUACCGGUGGCGAAGGCGGCCCCCUGGACAAAGACUGACGCUCAGGUGCGAAAGCGUGGGGAGCAAACAGGAUUAGAUACCCCAGUAGUC